GAUGAACGCUGGCGGCGUGCCUAAUACAUGCAAGUCGAGCGAACAGACGAGGAGCUUGCUCCUCUGACGUUAGCGGCGGACGGGUGAGUAACACGUGGAUAACCUACCUAUAAGACUGGGAUAACUUCGGGAAACCGGAGCUAAUACCGGAUAAUAUAUUGAACCGCAUGGUUCAAUAGUGAAAGACGGUUUUGCUGUCACUUAUAGAUGGAUCCGCGCCGCAUUAGCUAGUUGGUAAGGUAACGGCUUACCAAGGCAACGAUGCGUAGCCGACCUGAGAGGGUGAUCGGCCACACUGGAACUGAGACACGGUCCAGACUCCUACGGGAGGCAGCAGUAGGGAAUCUUCCGCAAUGGGCGAAAGCCUGACGGAGCAACGCCGCGUGAGUGAUGAAGGUCUUCGGAUCGUAAAACUCUGUUAUUAGGGAAGAACAAAUGCGUAAGUAACUAUGCACGUCUUGACGGUACCUAAUCAGAAAGCCCCGGCUAACUACGUG
rnacentral:rRNA from 1 species